rnacentral:rRNA from 1 species
UACGGAGGGAGCUAGCGUUGUUCGGAAUUACUGGGCGUAAAGCGCACGUAGGCGGCUUUGUAAGUUAGAGGUGAAAGCCUGGAGCUUAACUCCAGAACUGCCUUUAAGACUGCAUCGCUUGAAUCCAGGAGAGGUGAGUGGAAUUCCGAGUGUAGAGGUGAAAUUCGUAGAUAUUCGGAAGAACACCAGUGGCGAAGGCGGCUCACUGGACUGGUAUUGACGCUGAGGUGCGAAAGCGUGGGGAGCAAACAGGG